rnacentral:rRNA from 1 species
UGCCAGCAGCCGCGGUAAUACCGGCAGCACGAGUGAUGGCCGAUCUUAUUGGGCCUAAAGCGUCCGUAGCCGGCCGAGCGGGUCCGUCGGGAAAUCCACGCGCUCAACGCGUGGGCGUCCGGCGGAAACCACUCGGCUUGGGGCCGGAAGACUCGAGGGGUACGUCUGGGGUAGGAGUGAAAUCCCGUAAUCCCGAACGGACUACCGAUGGCGAAAGCACCUCAAGAGCACGGAUCCGACGGUGAGGAACGAAAGCUGGGGUCUCGAACCGGAUUAGAUA